rfam:Pongo abelii chromosome 13 P_pygmaeus2.0.2_Contig315.78, whole genome shotgun sequence.
GUUGGGGCCAAGGGGUCCCUCUUAUAGCUAUCAGCCCCACAGGCAUUUAGUCUACGUUGGAGGGUAAACAAAUACGGGUCCAGCCUUAGGAGAAAACAAAAACGUCUUACAGCCAGUGUCUAAACUCCAAACAACGGAAUGUAUCAAUGAGACCUUGUAUAUGGAUACACGUGCAUUUAAAACCGCCCUGCCGG